rnacentral:lncRNA from 1 species
GGAGCUCGAGGCCAUGAGCAGAUACACCAGCCCAGUGAACCCAGCUGUCUUCCCCCAUCUGACCGUGGUGCUGUUGGCCAUUGGCAUGUUCUUUACCGCCUGGUUCUUCGUGUAUCCUUUUCACUGAGCAGCCAGUGGGCCAGAGUUAGCGGUGUGGGAAACUGAGGGAGAAACCAUGCUGGGUACGUGCACCCUGCCAGUUUUGUUCUGGUGUGGGGCUAGGGGGAAGGUAAGGAGGUCGAAGGACAGCUGUUGAUGGGCAGGGUCGGGCUGUGGCCUUACUUCCCAAGUUUAGGUGAGCUCAGUUCUUCAGAUUUCCGGGACAGUGGACAGAAGGCCUGGCUGGACUGCAGGUUGGGGAUAGGGGAUCUGAAGUUGGCAGAGUGGUAAAGGAGGGGCGUGCUCAGGUGGCAAGAGAUCCGAGGGCUAAUGCCAGUUCCUCAGUUCACUGGCUGUGUGACCCGGGGCAGGUGACCUAACCUCUCUGGGCCUGAUUUUCUUCACAGGUGGUUGAGGGCUGGUAGGAAGCAACAGAGUCCAGAUCAUCUCUUGGGCCUCUCUUCCUGGCUGCGCUGAGCCCGGCAAGCCUCCUAGAAAGCCCUCACCCCGUACCUUUUUCCCAGAGCUGCACUGGCCGGGCUUCCUGUCCUACGCAGCCCCAUCCCUCUGCUUCUCCUUAAUCACCCUGCCAGCUAUGAGGUGACCUCCACCAAGUACACUCGGGAUAUCUACAAAGAGCUCCUCAUCUCCUUGGUGGCCUCGCUUUUCAUGGGCUUUGGAGUUCUCUUCCUGCUGCUCUGGGUCGGCAUCUACGUGUGAGCUCCCAAGGGUAAGUGCUGCGACAGGGCGGGCAUUAGAGAGGCUUCCCACAUCCACGUCAGUGCAGUCCUCAGGCCUGUGCAACACUUUGGUUCAUGGAGACAGACUCGGCAGAGUGGAUAGGGACGCCGGACGCGUGUGCCUCUUUCCCUGUCCCUAACAGGGAUCUCUGACCUACAUUGUCAUGCUGAGCUCUGCACACUGCCCAAGGCUUUGAUCUGGCUUCGGGGUGUACUUCAUAGGGCUGUGGGAGCAGGCUUCCCACGUGAUGACAUUUGGGUUCUUACACAUCACACGCCAUUGACUUGGCUGCUCGGGAAGAGGCUAGAAGGGGGGUCAGAACCUGGGGCUCCCAGUUUGCUGCAGGGAGUGCCACUGUGGUAAGUUUGAAUGUUUUCAGUCAUUAAAAGAAACCUUGACUAAAGUGAUGAAGCAAACCCAGAGACCCUGGCUGCAGAUAAUCCACUAAACAGGUCCCUGAGAGUCAGCUUUGGUAGCUCCGCUUCAGAGUCGUGUGCCCGUCAGCCCUUGCCCCAGGGGCACAGGCGUCAGUGAGAAAAGCAGGCGGAAGGAAGGGUCAUUGGUCUCAUUUUGAUACCCCUCUCCUCUUUCAGGUUCCAGCCCGGCGGCUUCACUGAACCCCUGCUUUUGUAAAUUAAUUUUUUUACCGUUGCCACAAGCGUCCCCCACCUGCUCACAAUAAAGGCAGAUGUGUGACCGUCUCGUCUGACCGCCCAUUUCGCAGCGGUGGGGUGGUGCUGGGACUACCUGACUUCCCUGGUCCCACCCCUUCCCAUUUCUCUCCUGCCUUUCAGAUGCUCCCUGCUGCCGGGAAGCCCUGCUUUCUACUGUGAGGGGCAAGGAGGGUGAGGGAGGGGAGGCUGUCCUUGUAACGGAAGGCUUCGUGGACAGGGAGGGACCAGCUCUCUCCUCUGUUGUUUUUACAGCAGACUUCUCUGGGAACCCACACCAGUCACGUCUGCCCUGGACCCGUCCCAUCCUCUGAAUGUACUCUCCCUUCUGUGGGUUGGGGACCUUCACAAGGCUCAGCUUGUCCCCAAAGGGGAGGUUUUCCUUGGGGAAGGGGGCCACUUUAACCCAGGUAGGGCAGCCGUGGGUCUGGGGGGGAGUGGCUAGGGAAGGCGGCUGCGGAGUCCUGUUCCCAAGCCUGGCGUGAAGUUGAGAAGGAUGUUGGGGUGCAACGCAUCCACGUGGCUCAGGAACCUCAAGAGAUUCCAGUCAGUCUUUGCCCCACAGGCAACUCCCGCCUCCUACCAGAACAGUCUCAAGAAGAGAUGGGGAAGCAAGGUCAGAUACAAAGCCAUAUUUAUACAUUUAUUUAUAUACGUAUAUUUACUUCAGAAGAAAAGGACGGGGACAGGAAGCAAGCAGGCCCAGGGCUGCCUCCCUGUGCCCACUCCAGAGUCAGAGUUGGUACGUGAUAAAUAUGAGUCAGCACUCAGGGACAGGAACUGGGAGUUAACUGGGAGGGAGGGGCGCUCUAUGCACACGCGGGCUUUUAUGGGGGCGGGUAUAACGUGGGCAGAGGGACUUGUGCGUUGAGAGGCCCUAUGUACAGCUUGAAGCUCUGGGGAGAUUAGCCCCGCGACUAUGGGAAUAAAUGCCGGAGGGGAGGGGAGGGGAGGGGCAGCUGCUGGACCCCAUGUAGGGAAUGGAACCAAGACACCCAUUUACCAGUGCCAGCCGGGCAGCUGUCAGCCUCCAGCAGGUGACCUGCUCCCCUUCCCCGAAGCCCAUGUACCUUACUGGGCUUAAGGCGACUUUGGUCCAAGGCUGACCCCCUCUCAAGCAGCUUGGAGCCCCAGCUUCCCAAUCCUCGCACUGAGGACCCCUCCUCAGGCACGGAAACAGCCAGCUGCUAACCAGAUUGGGGCAAUGCUGUGUCCAGAAGGGCUCCAGGGGGCAGUGGAGGGUCACUUUCCAGUUCAGGACUGAGGGGCCACAGUCCAAGGCCAGGCACCCUCACUGAGGAAGCCCCAGAAUCCUAUUACAAAGGGUGGGGCUCAGCAGUUUUUAAGGCAUUUCGGGAGGGUUUCCCCCACUCUGGGGGAGGGAGAACAGAGUAGUCCUAAGGAAGGCCUGGCCCCCUGCGUGGUGUGGGGAACCGUGGGAUUCCUAUGUCAGAAUGAAGGAGUGGAGCCACGCUGGGGAAGGGGCUGGGAGGCGAGGUAUCCCUGCCAUCCCCCAACUCCCCUAAGGGUAAGUGCUUUGUGACCCAUGCCGGAAGGGGGCCCACAGUUCCCAGGCUUCAAGACCCAGCUCCCCGUAGGAAGGCCUCCCAUUCAAAGUCGAGAAUGAGACUUCGGAGAGGGGUGAGGCCUGGUUCCCAAAGAGGUGGCAGGAUACCACAGGGCAGGGACCGCAAUUCCCAGGCCCAUGCGGACGUGGCUCAGUGAUUUCCACAUUCUUCUGUGAGCCUGGAUGUGGCCUCAGUGCUCCAGGCACCCACUAAGAAAGGUUAACUUAACAUUGGCACUUGAGAUAAGACUUCUUCCUAACACGAGCCCACUGCUCCAUCUCUGGGAGGAGUGAGUGGAGACGGGGCCUGCUGCCGAGCCUGGGUCGCUCCAGCUCAGCUCUCCGAACCCAACGUGGGAGCCCUUGAUCUGGGGAGACCAGGUGACCAGGAGACAAGAGUGAAGGGGGAAGCCAGAGUCUUGGUGGUCGGGAGUGAGCUGGAUGUCUCAAGCCUCCCUGGGAUGGAUCAGAGCCAGGCCCCCGUCUCUGCAAGUGUCCCCCUGUCCCCCCCCCCCCUCCCCCAGGGCUCUGCACUUCUCCGGGCUUUACCAUCUCCAACCUCCACCCCCGCUCUGGCUUAAGUGCAUUUUAGUAAUUAUUUCGUUAAUAACAGCAACAACUCUGCAUCCACACACCAGCCAAGACCAGCCUGCUGCCUGGCAUGGAUUCCUGCUCCCCUGCUCAGAGAGAAUGAUGGGUCCCGGAUACUGCUGCAAAGCUCUGGAAACUCCCAGGAACCCAGGCCGUGGGGCCCCGACACCGUCUUGUGGGGGGGGCUCACAGGGAACUUCAGGAUACUCCAGGUUCAAGGGUCCGGGGCUUACCUCGCCCACCGCCCCACCUCCCUCACUGGUUCAGCUGGACACGAAAUGUACAUAAGGCACAUGGUCAGUCUUUCCAACCCAUCCAGGGCUGGCUCCAGCUGCCCUGGGAGCUCUUGGGAGCCCGUGUUCCCAGGGAGAAGAGACCUCCUGGGCCACACUUAAAGCUUAAAAGUCCCAAGUCCAGCGUAACAGUCAAACCCCAAAAAGUCCACCACCUCGCCGCCCCGCAGGGAGCAGCUGUGAGGGUGAUGGCUGCAUACUCUCCACCGACUCAUGGAUCCAGCCGAGUCUUUUAGGGCUCCGUCCAAGUCCCCAGCUGAUAGCAAGGUCAGCAGGUCCCCUCUCCAAAAGAGGGGGGGCUCCCAGUCUCAAAAGGGGAGGGUGGGAGGUAGGCUCUGGACAGUCACAGGCUUACCCUUGCCGCCAGGGUACCUGAGGCCGGCCCUCCAACCACCAUAACUGGACAGAUAGGAACUGGUCCCGGCCUGGCCCCAGGAGGUCCCUCUGGCUCCCUCCGCGACGUGUGAGGGGCGACCGGCAGGGACAGCAACUCCAGUGUGAGGACUUCCAGUUUCACCAGUCGUGGGGAGGGCCAGGCCCGGUUCAGUCUCUCCAAGGGGGUGCCAGUGAGCAGAGAGCUGGCGGGCAGCGGCUCCAGUGUAACACCACCGCGUCCAGUGUGGAAGGGGCGCCCGGGGACCCGGGCCGUGGUGUGGUGCUGCCUUGGGGAGGGCAGCUCAGUCACACAGGCGGUAGAAGUGGAAAUAGUAGUCUGUGGCCGGCAGGACCGGGGCCUCCACGCUACAGUUGGCCUGACCCUGGGUGGGAGGGGAGCGGGCACAGGUGAGGUGGCUCUGGGGGUGCAGGGCAGGAAGCACCCCGCCCCCGGUGCCGACAUCACCUGCCCCUGUGCCCCACGUCCUGCCAUGCGCUCCGUGAACCCCCGCCUCCCUUCCCCGAGCCCCACGCUGAGCUACAGGCGCCUGGACCUCUGGGGGCAGGUGGGUGCCUGGGCUCACCAGCAGUGCCACCCGGAAGUGGUAGGUGAAUUCUCGGAAAGACAGGAUGGUCACUGGCCACUGGUGGGACGUGCCCUGGAGAGAGGGGAGAGAGAAGGGUGAACACAGCCCCCUGCCCCUAUCCCGACCAGCAGCCCUCACCGGGGCUCCAGGGCAAGUCUCCCAAAGGGUAAAAUGAGCACUGAGAAGAGAGCAGGGAGGGAGCACGCUCUGCUUUGGGGAGUGAUGGCAGCCCCCCUCUACGCACACUCUGUGCCAGGUACCCACAAGCCCACAGCCGCUGUCCCCCGGUCCCUGCCUCCCCUCACCCAUUACGCUCCAGGCACAAAGUAUUUCAUUAACCCCAACCUCACUACAACCCAGUAAGGUGAUGCUGCUGGUAGAUGAGGAAGCCGAGUUCCAGCCUAAAAUCACAGGGCACCGGGUGGCAGAGCUGGGGUUGACACACGGGUCUGGUCUGCUCUCCUUCGCCAGGGAGCGUGAGGCCUGGCUUCAGACCGCUUGCCCAUCUCCCCCCUGAGGCUUUGGCUUGGCCUCCAGGGAUGUGGAUUCUGGCCUGAGCUCCACAUCUGAAGAUGAGGGGCUGGCUGGGCUCUCCCUCUACUUCCGGGCACGUUCUCCUCUGCGCCUGUUUCGAGGCUCCCACGCACCCCUCCGCUCGUUACUUUCUGCACAUCUUUUCUCCUCAGCUAGAGGGUGCGUUCUUCCCAGGCAAGACCUGGGUCCACCCCGCCUGCCUCCCCACUGCUAAGCCCAGGACAGGGCCUGGGCUAGAGGGGCCCCGACACAUACUUGUUGAAUAACCACAAAUUGGUGAGAAGUCCCCUUAACCCGUGCUGAGAGUCACAACUUUGGGUUACGUGGGGGUCACAUGGCCAGUGAGGAGCUGAACAAGGAAAGGGUCUCAGCCAUUUGGUUCUCCGAGCAGGAGGUAGGCCUCUACGAAAUCGCCGAGAGAUCUUCCAAAAUGGUGGCUUGAACCAUGCCGCUGCCCAGUGUGAACUCACUGGGCCCAGUGUGAGCCGCUGCCCGUGCUCCUUCCCGUUUCCUGCCCCCUAGCCCUUGCCACGUGUCCGGCUCUGCCAGAAGGCCACCCAGUCCCUGGCCUCCAGACCUCAGCAUGUGCUGUCCUACUCCUGGGACACUGUCCUCUCUUCUUUCUCCAGCUGACCCCAAAUCAUCCUUCAGUUCUCGUCUUAAACGUGACUUUUCCGGGGUGGCUGUUCUGACCCCGAGCACAGACAAGGCUGGCUCUCCCUGCCAAGGACUCCUAGAAUACCCUCCCCACCCGCACCGUUGCGUUCAAUCCCAGGUUAGCCCUGGUGGGACUUUUGUCUUCCCAGGGGCUCUGUCAGGGCAGGGCCGGGGAUGGGACAGAGCAAGGGCAGGGCCACGAGGCACUCAGCCGUGACCAGUGCACCCGUGCCCCCUCCCCAGGGCCCAGAGGCCUAAAGCGUCCCUUGUGGAGGUGCCUUCGCUCUGGCCCCCGGCUCCUUCACCUGUUUGGGGGCGCGGCUGUGCCCGGGGAGAGGAAGCUCUGGGGUGUGGCUGGCCCACGGCUUCCCAGUCGCCCCCUACCUGGGUGUCCCGGUAGGUGUGCAGGCUCUGUGGAAAGUCCCUCUCCUCACACGGCUGCUCCUUUGACAUCAGGCUGCACAGCACCACAGACACGGGAGACGAAGAGCUGGGGGAAGGCCCAGUUAGCAGGGAGGUGGGGCUCCUGGGGGCCCCCUCCCAACCAGCCCUCCCCUCCACCUCCCCUGCCCCGCUGAAACAAGCCGCGAGUCCGCACGCGGCCUGACAACGAUGCCCACGGGUCAAGGCCCGAGACGGCCGCAAACCCUUUGCCGUCUACCGUCCCACAUGGCGUUCACACCCAGGUGCAACCACGGUGUGGUUUACAGAUGAGAAGCUGAAGCCCGGAGACUGCCAAGGUCACACAGCCAGUCAAGCGCAGAGCGAGCAAUAAAGUUGGCGUCGCUCCUCAGACCCCUUCCCCAGGUUGCCGGGGACCCCCACGUCCCUCCACUCACUUCAUCUGCAGAGUCAGGCUGAGGUGCAGCGGGGUGCCGCUGCUGACAGGGAUGCGGUAGGUGAAGUUUCCAGGCCUGAGAGGGCAAACGUGGCUGCUGCUUAGUCCAAGGCUACCCUGCUGAGGCCCCCUGCCUGGACUCCCCGCCCCCCCACCCCCACCCCGUCUGUCCUGGAGCUCACGGAAAGGGACUGUGCCACCUCUGGGGUGGGGGAAGGGGGAUGACAUCUGAGCAUCUGUACUGCCUGGGCUCACGUCACCUGAGGGAGUCUGUCCUUGGGGUGAGGGGAGGGGGGCAGCCGGGCCCACCUGCAGGCAUCCUCUGGGGCGCAGUACUGGGAAGUGAUGGGCAUUGAGUUCUCCAGCACCUGGAUGGAGGUCAGGGAGGGCACUGGGUCUGCAAGGAGAGAGGCUGUUGGGGCAGGGAGGAGGGUGACAGGGGCGAGAAGCCGCCAAGCCCUUCCUCGCCAGACUCGCGUUCAGUCACACACACCUUAGUAUAGAUAAGUUUCAGGUCACUCUUCCCAGACCCCCCACAAUGGCCAGGGUCACACCACCCUCCGCCCCAGCAGCACUACGAAGAGCCAGUUCCCGGGAGCCUGAGGCCCGCCUCCUUGACAGGAACCUGCACACCAGGGGCAGGGGUGGGUGCCGAGGGGUGCACAGGAGCCCGCCCACAGUGCUCCGCUCCUGACUGCACACGCUUUUCUUUUUUUUUUUUUUUUUUUUCCAAUGUUUAUUUAUUUUUGGGACAGAGAGAGACAGAGCAUGAAUGGGGGAGGGGCAGAGUGAGAGGGAGACACAGAAUCGGAAACAGGCUCCAGGCUCCGAGCCAUCAGCCCGGAGCCUGACGCGGGGCUCGAACUCACGGACCGCGAGAUCGUGACCUGGCUGAAGUCGGACGCUUAACCGACUGCGCCACCCAGGCGCCCCAUGCACACGCUUUUCAACACUCAGUUCAGAGGCAUCAGGUUGGUACCUUGAAAUCAGCCAUGGUGGGAGUAUUCGCCACAAAUCGGGGCUUUUUUUUUUUUUUUUUUCCCCUCCAGAGCCAACUGUGAGACACCUGCCAGCACCACACUCCUGGGGGCCUGUGGCCCUCUGUGAAGGAACCCGCCACGACUGGCUGACUGGCUGGGUGAGGGCGGGACUGAAGCGUGACACGGAGGGCGGGUGAGGUCAUCUCAGCUCACCUACAGGCUAGCUGCUGCCUGCCUGACCAUCCCACCGAGGGAGGGGAGGCUGGGGCCACCGAACAUGUGCUCAGCUCCGUGAGGCACAGCCAGGCACCCAGGGGCCCCAGCAGGCACAUGGGCCCACGGACACCACACACAGACAAGAUGGAAGAGACCCUCACAUGUCUCUUCUGGGCAAACUCCUGCGGUCCUUCAGAGACUCAGCUCCAAUGUCACCUCCUCCGGGGAGGCCUCCUGAUCACCUCUCCACCCCCGCCUGGAUUACGUGCCCUCCCCAGUCACCAAGCUGCCUGCAAAGUCCCCUCAGAGCUGCGGCCCGCCCCUACGCUGCCGUGUUCUCACAUCUCUGAGCCAUCCGGGGCCGGGCACGUGUGUCCUCAGCACCCCCAGCCCCCCAACCCCUGUACAAUUGAACUUCAGUCUCAGCAAGUCACAGUUUCUAAGCUUUUUUUUCCCUCUAAGCCACAAAACCCAUCAAGUGAAAGCCAAUGAGGAGGCCCAAUGCCUAGAGCAGAGCCACCUGGGAAGCCUGGAAGGCCCCUGGCCUCCUCUGCAGCCCCCAGGACGGCCGGCAGGGUGCGUCGGAGGAGUCAGUGGCAGACAGAAAACCUGUGCGGCCAAGGGUUCUCUGGCUUGGUGACAACCAAAGCCUUGAGAUUUGGAAAGCUGGGGGGGCGCGGGGGGAGACCCUACACAGCACCCUCCUUGCCCUGGCAUGGGGGCGAAGGAGCCAGGCCCCGGUGUCGGGGAGAUGGAAUCCUAGCUCUGCCGCUGACAGGCCGAACACCCUGUCUCCGUUUCCCCAUCUGAACUACAGGGAUGAUCCCCUCCUUGCAGGAAUAUGUAAGGAUUAAAUGAGGCGAGCUACAUAAGGCUCCUGGCCUCAUUCCUGCUACUUAGUAACGGGGUAUGGGCUGGCAAUCCCGCGCCAGGCGUUCAGGUGGCUGAGCUGAGAAGAUGGGGGGCAAGGUAGGGCAAGUACCUGGCUGGCCCUGGGCCCGAGUGGGCCGAGCAGGGCUCAGGCCGGGCUGGGGAAGCCCUCUGCGGGCCCGGCCGUGGAGACCAAGGCUGGGGCUGUUCUUGGCUUUGCCCUGCCCUCCAGGGAAGGGGACUUCAGGGCUGGCCAGAGGCUCUGAGCUCUUUGGAUGCUUGGAGUGGCCAAUACCAUUGGCCGACAGGCCCCAGGACUUGGCUCUGAUGUUGGUGACUGGUAGGAGGGCCAUCUGGCCGGGGCCUGUGGACAGAACCAGGGGUAGGCUGAGAAGAAGGCACAGGCAGCAACUGGCUACCUCCUGUCCAGCUUUCUCUAGGACUUCACCAGACUGUGGGUGACCCCCAUCUGUCUCUUGGUCCCCUCAGGGAGACCCACCAGUCUUCCUCCGGAGCCUCAUUCUGGGCUCCCGGACACCCUCCCUCCAAUGAGUCUUCGGGGUCUUUCUCUGGACUCCCAUAACACCCCCUCGACCCGAACCCAAGACAGCCAUACCUGAGCGGUUGGUGGAGGGACUGGGACUGGGGCUGAGGCCAUGGCCAGGGUUAAAGCUGGAGCCAAGACUAGGGGCAGGGGUAGGGCUGGGGGUGGAGGAGGAACAGCAGAUGACUGGACAAGGGCGGCUGGAGCACAGGUCCAAAGUGGGGAUGACAGGACCUGGGGCUGAGCUGCUCAGGCCGGUGGUAACUGCGGAAGCCAGGGGCCGUAUGAGCGAGCAGCAGGUAGCUGAGCUCCGCGCCCCCGCCGCCCCAGAACGCGGCCACCUCUCCCCCAUCCCAACCCUCCAGACCCCCCACAGGCACGCACCCAGCAGCAAAGAGGGCCGUGUGCCUGGCAGCCCGGUGGUCACAGGCGACUGUCGGAGCUGAGUGGUCCCAAAGCUCUGGCUGGACCUGCUGGGGAAGGGAGGGCUGAGCUCAGAGGACAGCCUCAACAGGGAGGCCUGGGGGUUCUGGCGGAGCAGGAGGGACAGGAGGAGGCGGACAGGGAUGGUGGAAAGGAGGCAGGGAGAAGGGUGGCAGGAGCCAGAGGCAGGAGGGCGGGGGCUCGGUCCAGACACGUACCAUGGGCACCUGGCCUCACUCCCCCCAGGGUGCUGGGGCCGGAGCAGGGCCAGAAGACAGGAAGUGGACACAGCAAAAGAGCUAACGGGCAGCAGAGAGGAACAGGAGGGGGGGAUAGGUGCAGGGGAGGAGAGAGAAAAGAAACAGUCAGAGAUAGCCCAGGAGCUGAGGUGACAGUGGGCAAACAGAGCCCAAGGUCCCACGGUGGCCCUCUUUCCCCCGCCCCUCCCCCCAUGCCCAUUCCAACCUGGGCCCCUCAAUGCCCUCUGACUCUCAGAGGCCCAGCUACCUAAAGGAGCACUGAACGGGCCCACGAGACACACUGGCUUCGGUAGGGACCGGGAAACGUCUGCCCCUCCUCCAGGGAGACCUCCCCAGCCACCCCUGCAGGCCGAGAGCCCGAAGCGCUACCCCCUUUGGAGGAGACAGCCUCCACGGCUCCUCUGACCCUGGGCUGCCCACCAAAGCCCCACCUGUCCUGGCGGCUUGGCCAGCAGCCAGGCCUCCAGGGACAUACCCAUCGGUUUCCACCAGGUCCUCCUCGGUGCGCAGGCUCAGCACAUACAGUGUAGACAUGGACACCACGCUGGGAGCCACAGAAAAAGGGCCACUGUUAGAGCUGGAGCUACUGUCCCGGCCCCUCUCUCUAGGGCAGGGUCUGUGGUCCUUGGCUCCGGGGGUGGGGCUCGCGAGUGACAGUGAACGGUGCCUGCGAGUGGGUCUCCCCAGCCCCAGGGGCACGAGACCGAAGGAGGCAGCCCACUUCCUUCCCUGAGACAUCCCCCUGUCCCUCCAUCCCUCCGUGAGGUCUCCUCUCCCGGCCACGUCUUCCUCUUCCCCCCCGGGCCCGGGCCCAAGGGACAGCUCAACUUCCCCAGCCAGCCACCCCUGGAGCCUGGGGGACAAGUCACCUGAAGGCCAUGACCACCACCAGGGCAAUGAUGGUUCCCUGCAGGAAGCGCUGGCUGAUGCAGGCCUGGUCUGGGACCACAGAUGACGACUGAGGACCGAGCGUAAAAGGGGAAGAAGCAGAAGAAGCCCAGACUGAGGGAGCCCGUGGUCUCACUCAGUGUGGACUCCGCUGGACGUGGGGGUGCUACGGUCUGCUCGUUCCUAUGGGGGAGGGGGGGCAGCGGGAGACGAAGGAGAAACGGGGCCAGAGGGCUAGAGAGCUGGGAAGCGAGGGGAAGUGCUUGCAGUCCGAGAGCCUGGAGGAGGAGGGCCCCGGUCCCACCCGCCUCCCAUCCGCGCCCAUCCUCACCUUGCUGGCCACCUUGGGGGGCCUCUUCUUGUGGGGGACGCUGCCCGCCCGGCUGAACUGGCUCCCUGCAUGGCUGCAGCAAGAGGGCCAGGGUCAGAGGUGCCUCUGGGAAAGGGGUCUGGCCCCCGCCUGGCCCCGCCCCCACCUGAAGGCACCCGAGCUGCCAGUGGACUUGAGGCUGUCCAGCCGCCGCAGUUUGGCCAGCUUGUGGCUCCAGCGCUCCAGCUCGUCAAUGCGUGUCUCCAGGUUGUCCGUCAGCUUGCACAGCUCCUUCACGGCACCCACGUUCUCCAUGAAGAUGCGCUCCUGCCGCGGGCGGCCGGCACGGUCAGCCCCUGGGAACCCUGGGCUACAGGGAGCAGGACCCACGGCCGCCUGGAAGUCCUCAAAGCCUCCCUGCCCAGGUCGGCCUCGGCAGCCCCCAACUCCCCGCGCCUGCCUCCAAACGGCACCCCCGCCUCUGCACCUUUGCGCCGCCAUCCGGCCAGCCCUUCCCACCCCUCCUCGCCGUCUGAACCCCGUCUCUCAGAGGCUCCCACCCUCUGAUGAACGUGAUCUCAGGCUUCAGCUCCUUAUUGCUCAGACAAGGCCAAGACAUAGUACUACACGCUCCUUGAUGCCCGGCCUCAUGCCGGGUAGUUACAAACAUCACCCUCACGCUCCGCUGUGCGUUUCAGCUUCUCAAUAACCACCUGGGAAGGUCUUGGCAGUGGACUAUCUCUAGCCUCCUUUCAAAGGGGAGGAAAAUGAUCCCCAGGGAGCUUCCUCUUGCUGUGGAUCACACGACCAUCGUGUCGCCAAGUCCCCAGCUGGCCCUUGAACGCUCAUCCCCUUUCCCCGGGGGCGGGGGGUGGGGUGGGCAGGGGGCUCCGGAGGCAGCAUGAGAGAAGACUGGGCUGCCUGCCCCCUCUGCACUUCAGUGCCCCCAGUCUCUAAGUGGGAGAUAACGCCCCAGCUGGUCCACCCUCGGCCCUUGGGCUCUCUCCAUCCCCCCACCCUGCAGACCUUGUUCACCACCAAGAAGUUCUCUAUGGUUUUCCCAUUGGCAAAGACCACGUCUCCAGUGUCCUUCACAGCCUCAGGCAGGAUCUCCUUCACCUCCUGGGCGAUGACACCUGGAGAGUGGGGGAGGGUGGGGUACAGAACACCCACAGUGCCAAUUAUAAUGCAAGGAGGGCCCCCAAGUUUGAAGAGGGCGAAAUUCUGAGGGCUAGAGAUUUGGGAUCCAAGGAGCACUGGAGCAGGGGGCUCCCACGGACCAGUGUUCCGAAGGCUGCCGCUCCCUGGCUCCGGUUGUGGGGUUCCCUGGCCUGGGGGAAGGGUGGAUUCCUGGGUGUAAGGCUCCCAGGGAAAGUGGGCCUGGAUAGAGGCAGGAUUCACCUAAGGAGCAGAGGAUGCCGGGACCACGAUUCCCGGACUUCUAGUGUCCCGGGCACCCAGGGCUGAGGCGCGGGACUUCUAGAGGGCAGGAUUCCUAGGCAGGAGUUCUAGGAGUCAAGGAGAGGGGUUCCUGGGAGUGGGGUUUCCAGCGGGCUGGGACAGAGUUGCCAGAGGACAGGGACAGGGGGCGGGGUUACUGCGGGCCGAGGCUGCUGGUUCCGGGACCCCAGCUCCCGUCGACGUAGCAGGUCCCUACCCGUCUCUGGUGCCGUGGCCUCGAUGCCUGCGGUGGCUGCAAACUCAGGCUUGUAUCUGUAGUGCACCAGCCGCAUGCGUGAGAUCCUCUUCAGCUGCUCUGUGGUGUCCACCUGCACGGGAACCGGGGCCGAGACUGAACCCCUCCCCUCCUGGGUCCGUCCGAAGUAGGCCCCGGAGCUCAAGACGGUGGGGACCCAGGGUCUGCAGUGCGGAAGGGAGACCUUGCACCAGGGUCGAGCUCCAGAAAUCUAGAGCCGGCCUCCCCCAUCUCCUUCCCCUGCAGCCCCGCCCUUCCAUCUGGCCCCGCCCCUCCACGAGCCCCGCCCACACACCAAUCAGCCCCUCGCGGCCCAGCCCUGCCCCCGGCCCCUCCCGCGGGAAACUCAGUUCUCCCCGCCGCACAGCCCCGCCCCUCGCCCACAGCCCCGCCCCCACCUCCUGCACGUGCUCCUUGGCCCGCAGGUCGGAGGGGUGCAUGAGCGAGCCCAUGACCUUGACAUUGCCGUGCACGACCAACGCCUCGUCGGGUCGGUCCGUGUUGAUGCCCACGCGGCCAUGGUGGAAGACAGUGUCGGGCACCUGCGCCCGCUGCCACAGCACGUCGCUGUCACUCUCAAACUGGCCUGGGUUGGAGGCCUAGCACAAGUGGGGGUUGGAUCAGUCCUAGGGGACGGGGCACCUGCAGUGCCCUGGGAAACCCUGCCGCCACCCCUCCCGCUCCAGGCAAGGAUUCUCACUCCACCAUGCCCAACUUCAACCGACCCUCUCAUUGUGGCACUUUUCAGUCGCUUGUGGGAUCUCAGAAGGCUACCUAGGUCCUGUGUUCCUCCACGCUUGUGGCUCAGAGGGUGGGAACUUGCCCAAAGUCACACCACUAGCACCGAGUGGGAUCAGCAUUCUAGCUCCUGACCACCCCCCGCCCCCAGUACCCCGUAUUCCUCCUGGGUGCUGUUUCUCCCAGCUCUGGGGAGGACUCUCAACCCCUUGGCUGGAGAUGGCCCUCACCCUCACGAUGAUGCGCUCUGAGAUCUGGGCAGCCAGCGUGUAGUUCUGGUUCUGUGCAUGGGCCUGGAGCGCCACCACCAGCAUGAAGUACCUGGGGCGCACAGGGGUUUAGAGGCACCCAGGGCCCUGCCCCACCUGCCCCUGCGCCCCAGCCACCCUUCCCAAGUCUCAUGUUCAGUGCUGAGGCUCCUACCACCCCUAGCGGCCGGAGGAGGGGCGGGGGCAUUCACAGCUCAUCCCACAGAAGAGGAACCUGAGUCUCCACCAGAGGGCAGACAUUCCCCAGGACCCACAACUAGGAAACCUUUGAGCUGUUCCAUCCAGAAGCCGCGCUUCUGGUCUGUCUCGUCCUUAAAUCAGUUAGCCUUAGGUACGAGUCUCAGGUCUCUCAUCUGCAAAAUGGGUCAGUCUGUGGGACACUGACUAUGGGGUGGUGUCCUGCUGCCCUUCCUCCUCGGAAAUGGAGGGCCUGCCAAGGCAGAGGUCAAGCCCGCUCACCUCUGGUCAGGGUUAGGUUUGCCCUUCUUGCGCAUGUUGUUGGCGGUGGUCUCGCUGAAGUGCAAGCGCCCCACAGUCACCUUCGUGACCUGCUCAGGAGGCAGAUUGACCCUGCAGAGGCGGGGGGGUGGUAUUCAGUGGGCAGGGAGGGGGACCCAGUCAAGAAUGUGUAGGAGGCAGACACUGGGGGUGCCAGCCGGGCCCCCUCAGCUCCCAGCCCAGCUCCGGGGUCAGCCCUCCCAGGUCCUCCCCCCUCCCCCCACAGGGCCAGACACUCACGUGACAGGGUUAAAGGGCCGCUUGCUUCGGUCGGACUGUGACUGCUCAAUGUUGAUGGACUGGUUCAGGGCCUCCAGCUGGGGGAGAAAGCAGGGCCCCCGAGGCAGAUCAGGGCGAGGGGACCCCCUGGUUCUGCUGCCUGGUUCUGCUUCCCUUUACCCACUCGGCCCAGACCCGGCCCAGCUGGACCUCCCUGGGAAGAGGGGCGGCCCUCUCUUCCACGAGGGCACAGAUAGUCCCAUCACUCCCCCACCUCUGCACACACCCACCCACACAUGUAUUCCACAAAAACACUCACAGCUCCCACAUCCACACCCGCGCACGCCCUGACCUCCUCGUACAUAUCCCAAGCGGGCCUCCAUCAACACACACACACACACACACACACACACACACACACGCACAAACCCGCUCACUCCCCAGACCCUCUCCCACACUCACAUCCAGUCCCCUUAACCCUUCUGUGAGCACCGGCUGAGCCAGACCAAGGAGCCGGCCCAGCUCCCAGCACUGAAGGAAACACACCCAGCUGUUCCCCCAGGAUGCGCAAGGGCUCCAAAUCAACCCCUCCUGGGGGGUGCUGGAGGGGACUCAGGGCAAGUGUCCCCAGGGACCAGGGACCCCAGCAGAGUGACCAGGGAGGCCAAGGAAUGGCCUGCCAGGAGAGGAGGGAUGGACUGGGCAUUCUCAGGGCAUCCCAGAGAAACGGAGCUACUUCCGGAAAGCAGGUGCUAUGAACAGGCCCAGAUGGUCUGGGGCACAGCAAACGGCAGGGCAGGAAUGAAAGGCUGGAUCCCAACGGCCUUUGUGGGCUAAGCUUAGAAGUCAUGGCUCUUUGCUGGGAGGGCACCAGGUGUCUCGGGGGAGCAUGAGCUGAGCGCCAGAGAAGAAGCCGCUGUGGACGUUCAGAGAAGCGGUGGGGGGCGGAGGGGGCAUGUGGUCUGGUCCAGGGGGAGGCGGAGGGGAGACAUGAGAGAAGGGACCAAGGCGGGCAAUGCCCUAGGAGAACAGCCAGGCCUGGUGCGUAAGCCUAGAGCGAGGGGUGAGUUGGCAGGGACUCCAUUUGGGGAUGGGGAGCUAAGGCAGCCGACAGAGGAGUCAGGAGAAGGGUCUCUGCUGGGGGUGCAGACCUGGGGUCACAGGGUAGAGAAGGAAUUAGGAAGCCUGAGGAGGCUGACGGGCACAGGGACACUCACUUUGCCUUGGGGUCUCUCAAGCUCCCCCCAGCGUUCCUGACUCGCCUCUGCUCCCCUCCCCUCCUGGCGGAGCCCCCAAACCUGCCUUCACUCCGUGCAGUUUCAGGUAGAAGCAGUCAAGGGGCUUGAGGCCUUCGGGCGUCUUGACGUACUUGGGCUCCCCCAGCAUGCCGAUGUAUACCGUCACCUGAAAGUGGUUCUUCUUCUGGCACACGAAGGCGUCGUCGCCCACCGAAAAGUUGAAGCCCUUGUCAGCGUCCACGCGGUAGGUGAGCAUGGGCCUGGGGGCAGAGGAAGGGACUCACUGGAGCCGCCGCCCCCCCCCCCCAAACCAAACCUGGAAUGUUCCUCCUACACGCCUGCAUUCCAAAGCAGCUUCCUAUCUGGUACCCCCAUCCUCAAACCACUCAGGCGGCUGCCCCCACUUCUCAGAAAUGGAAACUGAGUCCCCAGAAGGAUUUUGAGCUCAGGUCUGCCUCGGCCAAUAGUCUUUCCUCUACAAGGCUGGGACCAGCCCACCCUGGUGAUGGGGGAGGCAGGGCAAGACCCCUGGGGCCCACCGCCCAGGCGUGAACUCCUGAGGAGGGGGCGCCUCAUCACGCUUGGCUCCUUCCCAGAAUGCUGCCUGAAGCCCCCUCCCUCACGGGAGAUGGGGUGAGAGAGGGUGCGUCUGCAGAGCCUCACUGGCCUGACAGCUGGUUGCCAUGGAAACGGUGGAACCAGGCGCCGGCUCUGAGCGCUGGCCCGGCCCCUGCCCACUGGCUUGCUCAAGCCCCCAAAGUCCUCAUUCUGACUCUUCCCUCUGCCCAAGUGGGGAGAGGGGCACUCUGGGCGGCCGGGACUCGGCCUCGGUUUACCCGUCUGUUGUUGGGGAAGUAUUCCAAGUAAGGAUCCUUUGGGGGACCUCUAGGUGGCAGGGAAGGGGGGCAACCGUUGGCCCGUCCUUACCCAGGUCCCCAGGCACAAGCAGUACCCUCCCCAGCUCCCCCGGUGCCUGGGGCCUGCCUGGAGGAGGAUGGGAGAAGAGAACGCUUCCAAACUUGGGGGAAGAGUCUGGCUAACUUCUACCGGAAGGCCUGGGGCUCCACCCACCUGCCUGCCCCAGGAGAAUACCCCGGAAGUACACGGGCCACUCUGGGGGCCUCAGCUGCCAGCUUCCUGGCCUUAAGGCCUGGAGUGGCAGGGCUGGCCCAGAAAGCAUGGUGGUAAGAGUGGGGGGUCCUCACCAGGCCAUAAGGGCGGGAUCCCUAAAGACGUCUCCCCCAGCCCUGGCAGGGCCUCAAGGGAUACUUCAGCCACUACAGCAGCUGGACCGCCGCCCCCCCCCCCUCCCCAGCCCUGAGGGCUUCUGGCUAAGAAUCCCACAUGGCCUGGGGUACCCGACUCGGGGAGACUGGUCUGUUCCACCCUGCCCAGGCCUGGCAAUGUCGCGGGGAGUUGGUGAGCGACGCUCUCACCUCCACGGAACUUCGACAAGAGUGAGGGGGGUGGACCCAGAGUGCUCCUGGCCUGGUCCCAGGAAGUUGAAUCCACAUGGGUGGGUGCUGAGGGAAAGCUAGGAACGCCCGGACAGCCCGUCCUCCCCCACCCCCUCAUCCCCCACCCCCCCCCCCCCCCCCAGGGAGGGGGCUGCUGGAAGGGCCCGGCCAACACAGCUUCCUGCUACCUUCCUGGAAUGCAGGAGUGGAGGAGGCGGACGAGAGGAGGAGCCAGAGAACACCCAUCCACCCACGUCUCCCUGCCUUGGCUCCCACCGGCCCCUCCCUGGUGGACACCACCUUCUGAAGGAGGCCUUGGGCUGGCCCAGAAGUCCAGAACCCCGAGUUCCAGUCCCGGCUCUGCCCUGAGCCUACUUUUCCACUGUAAACCGGGACCACCUGGUACCCAGUGUGCUCCCAAGCCCGGCUCUAGGACCGUGAUGCCAGGGCUGGGGGCGGGGGGCGGGGUCCCCGGAUACGGUGACCAGGAGGGGUGGGGUCGGGGCACAGGUCACUUACAGCUCCUUGUAGUUUGCAUCGUACAGCGUUGCCCACUUGUUCUGCUGAUGCGGUUGCCACUUGAUGGAUUGGUAGUUGGGAUCCAGGUAGGAGCCACUAAGGCUAUCAUUGUCCUGCAGGAGACCUGGAGGGAGGGAGCGCCCAUGUGGGCCCUGCGCCCCACUCCCCAGCUUCAAGGGUUGGCUCCCUGUGAGGUCCAGCAGGCCAGGCACGUACCUGGUGAGGGUGCACCCGGUGGGUGCCAAGGUGGCGUCUGGACCCGGGCGAUGCUGAGGGGCAAGGAGCCGGGGCCGGGGGAGAGUGGGCCCUGGGGAGGCCAGGGUGGGGAAGGGGCUCGAGCUGGGUGCGGGGGCAGGGUCGUCGCGGUCCCGGGCUCCUGUUUGAUCAUUCCAUUCAGCAUCUGGGCAUUAAGGGUGUUGGGAGGUGAUUCGGAGUGCUUCCUCUUCUUGGAGGGGUGUGUGGGGAGCCUGGGGGCGACACGGGUGCAGGUCUUGGGGGGCUGGCUCUUCCUGAGCCCCCUCCCACUAGGCAAUAGCCUUCUUCCCGUCUUCAACCUGUUUCAGCAGGAUUUACCUAAUCCAGAGGACACCUCCUCCAGGAAGCCCCUGGGCUUUACCUUCUCACUGCCGCCCCCCAUCACUCUGUGUUGUCAUUCUCUAUUUCUGUCACUCCUCCCUUCUCCUGAGAUUACGGAAUUCAAGGAGGGCAGAGGCCACACCUGACUUGUCGGUGUGUCCUCAUCAUGCCCGGCGAUAGGCCUCGUGCACAGCAUCCUCAGAAUCGUUUGUGGAAUGAACAAGUCGGUCCCUUCCCUGUGGUGUCACUCUCAGUGCCACUCUUUAUAGUUGGGGGCUCCACAGAGAGCAGCCUCCAUGGUCAGAAACAAGCCACAGAAGGCAUGGGCCACGAAGGGUGGGAAGGAGAGUUUCUUGGGGACGAGGCUGCGGAAUCUCGGCUUGAACGAAACCUUUCACGACAUCUCAGUGUGUAAGAUAAAUAGACAAAAAGAUAAUUCUGCUGGUUGGAGUCGGAAUGGGGUGCUUGGGUCUAUGGCUCACACUUCCGCAGGAGGCCCAGGACUCCACGAUCGGGUUAGAAAGUCCCUGGUGUCUGGGAAAGGAUACAGCCUGAGGUUCAAGUCCUGGCUCUGCCCCUUCCUAGUUUCACGACCUGGGCAAGCGUUUCCUCCCCUGGGAGCCCCAGUUUACCUCUCUGGGCAAUGGGGGUGGCCAUGCUCACCAAAUAAGGUAGUCGUAAGCGCUUGGCCGUGGCUAUAAAUCUCCAGCAGGUUUCUGGGCACAUAUGCAUACGUGUGCUGACCCUCAUCUCCUGGGGUCAGAGCCUUCUGCCUUCCUGGUUCGUCCCUGUCCGUACCUCCAUCUCUGUCCUGCCUUCUGCCGCCCUGAACCCCGACCCCCAAGCCCACCUGCCCGAGUCUUACUCAGCUCCGUGCUGAUUCAGCAGCUGGUGUAGCAUCUGGGACUGCUGUGUGUGGUGGAGAUCCGUGGGCACCAGCCCCUGCCCCAUGGCAGCGUAGGGGGGCAUCGGGGGCUCGGCCUUCAUGUACAGGUCCCGCUGCAGGACAGGGUAGUGAGGCGGGGGUGGCGGGGGCGGCGGAGGGCCUGGUAGGUGGGCUGGAGGUGGAGGUGGGUGCUCCAGGCGGGAGGGCACUCCCACGUGGCACAGGGACUCAGGGGUAAUGGUGCGCAGGAGAUGGGGGUCUGCAGGAGAGAUGGGGGGGCAUCAGAGACCUACCUACAUCACGCAGGUUCCCGGGCACCAGCUCUCCCCCCACCGGCAGGGUCUCCUGAUUCCCACCUUCUCCUGAACCAAGCCCCGGGGCUGCCCUCCCACCAGCCCCACGUGGGAGGAGGGCUGGGCAGCCUAGAGGCUGGCCACUAGAGGCCUGGGCAGGGAGACAAGACCCUGUCCAGGGGGCGGGCUGCUUCCCCCCCGCCCCCCGCCCCGGUCCUAAUGGGGUCCUGCCCCCAGACCGGGCUGCCCUCCCUGGGAAGGGCCCACAUCCCAAGGUGCUCCCCCAGCCCCCUCUCGGGCCUCAUCUUCCUCCGGGGGCCUCCGGGAGAAGUCUCUCGGGACCCCCAACACAGUCCUGCGGCAGCCCUCCUCCACCAGGAAGCCCCUCCAGCGGGCUCCCAGGGGCCAGCCCCCCAGCUCCCUUUGUUCCCCAGGAGGCAUUCCAGAAAUGUUUCUGGUAAGAUAAACAGAACUCUUGACCCCUCUCUGGGCUGUGGGGAGAAGGCUGCCCGCGCUCCUUCUGUUCUUGGCCACCUGGGGGCCGCUGCACCCCUGGCACCCCCCCCAGGGGGAGGUGGGCCCUGCGGGCCGGCGACGCCUGUACUCAGGCUGCACCCACAGCCUUCCCCAGCCGUCCACUUACCGCCGAAGGGCGCGUCCAUGAUGGCGCAGGCGGGCAGGCGGGUGGCAUCACCGGCAGGGACACUUGCUCAGAGGCAGGGCCAGGCUCCCCACCCGCCCGUGGGGAAACAAUAGCCAGCGCCGGGGAGUAUUUGACCAGCGAUAAUCUGGGCCUGUUGGGCGGCCGCUGGCCCCCUCCCUCCCUCGCUCCCUCCCUCCCCGAUAAGGCCGCCCCAACCACUUGCCCAAACCCCAGAGGGGGAGGGCGGUGCCCGCUGGACUCACCAUUCACCUGCUGGGGGGAGUAGGCCUCGGAGCCCGAGUCUGGGGGAGAGUCCGGCAGUGUGCUGCAGGAGCAGGAGGAAGGGGCUGCUGGGCGGGCAGCACUUCCGUGGGGCAGGGUCCCAGAGACCCUAGAGGCUGGAGGCACUGGGGUCUCCUCGCUCCCGCCCUCAGGGGAAUUUCUCUGCACCAGCCACCUUGCCUUGCCAGGCAGGGCCUGGGGCUGAACUCAGGCAGCGGGUCUCGGGCUCCUCCCACCCGGCGUCCCCUCUCAGACCUACUGGGCACUUGGGGACCGGGAGCCAAGGUCCCCGGUGAGGGCACAGGGAUUCAAGGACUCCUCCCAGAUGCAGAGGCCAGGCUGGCUCCUCCUUCCCACACCCGCUGAAGCCCCACUUUCCAGAAACUCUAAGGGGCUCCAGGGGGCUAAGCCCGGAGAGAUUCGGUGGGGGUCACCGUGGGCAGGUGUGGGCCAGGCAGGGAGCCAGCUCCGCCAGGCCUGGGUUUAUUUUUCUCUUGCAGGUUCUGUUUUAUCAGCGGCUCAGGCAAAAGGAACAAACUCAGGCCUGAGAGACCAACAUGUCCUGCGCGAGCCCUGCACUCGCCCGCUGAGGGGAGGCUGCGGCCAAGCAGGGAUCCCGCUCUUUGGCCAUCCUGGUCCCCGCAUCUGGAAAGACUGCCCACCACUGGGCCCAGGCAGCUGCCUUGAGGCAGCGAGCCCUCGUGGCCACAGCCCUGGGCUGAUUCUAGAGUCCUCAGGCUCCCCUGAACGAGCCACCCACCCAACCCCUCAGG